AGUAAUGCUUGGGAACUUGCCUUUGCGAGGGGGAUAACAGUUGGAAACGACUGCUAAUACCGCAUAAUGUCUUCGGACCAAACGGGGCUUCGGCUCCGGCGCAAAGAGAGGCCCAAGUGAGAUUAGCUAGUUGGUAAGGUAACGGCUUACCAAGGCGACGAUCUCUAGCUGUUCUGAGAGGAAGAUCAGCCACACUGGGACUGAGACACGGCCCAGACUCCUACGGGAGGCAGCAGUGGGGAAUAUUGCACAAUGGGGGAAACCCUGAUGCAGCCAUGCCGCGUGUGUGAAGAAGGCCUUCGGGUUGUAAAGCACUUUCAGUUGUGAGGAAAAGUUAGUAGUUAAUACCUGCUAGCCGUGACGUUAACAAAGAAGAAGCACCGGCUAACUCCGUGCCAGCAGCCGCGGUAAUACGGAGGGUGCGAGCGUUAAUCGGAAUUACUGGGCGUAAAGCGCACGCAGGCGGUUUGUUAAGCUAGAUGUGAAAGCCCCGGGCUCAACCUGGGAUGGUCAUUUAGAACUGGCAGACUAGAGUCUUGGAGAGGGGAGUGGAAUUCCAGGUGUAGCGGUGAAAUGCGUAGAUAUCUGGAGGAACAUCAGUGGCGAAGGCGACUCCCUGGCCAAAGACUGACGCUCAUGUGCGAAAGUGUGGGUAGCGAACAGGAUUAGAUACCCUGGUAGUCCACACCGUAAACGCUGUCUACUAGCUGUGUGUGUCUUAUAAGACGUGCGUAGCGAAGCUAACGCGCUAAGUAGACCGCCUGGGGGAGUACGGCCGCAAGGUUAAAAACUCAAAUGAAUAAGACGGGGGGCCCGCACAAGCCGG
rnacentral:rRNA from 1 species